CGCUCCUUGUUUUAGUAUUAAGUAAAGAUAGGGAGUCGGACCUGCCCAGUGACUUAUGAGUUAAACGGCCGCGGUACUCUGACCGUGCAAAGGUAGCAUAAUCAUUUGCCUUUUAAUUGGAGGCUGGUAUGAAUGGUUUGACGAGGGCUGAGCUGUCUCCCCCUAAAUUUUUAAAAAUUAUCUUUUAGGUGAAGAGACCUAAAUUUAAUUGAGGGACAAGAAGACCCUGUUGAGCUUUAGUAAACUGGAGAUUUAUUAGUGAAGGUAUAAAAAAUACCUCUUGAUCCUACUCAAGUAGCGAUAAAAAUUUUCAGAAAUCUUUAGUUGGGGCGACUGAGGAACACAAAAAGCUUCCUUAUUCUUCUAAUAGUUUAGAUUUUUGUAGAUAUAUUUAAAAAGGAAAGAUCCGGUAGAUACCGAUCAAUAGAAAAAGUUACCACAGGGAUAACAGCGUAAUCUUUCUGGAGAGUUCUUAUCGAAAGAAGGGUUUGCGACCUCGAUGUUGGACUAAGAUAUCCUGGGGGUGUAGCAGCUCCUAAUGGUUGGUCUGUUCGACCAUUAAAAUCUU
rnacentral:rRNA from 1 species